rnacentral:lncRNA from 1 species
AUGAAAAGGAAAGAAAGUUUCCUUUUUGAACUUGACCAGAAUUACAGAGGUGACGUGAUUCGUAGGAGUUUGGGAAACCACAAACGAGAGAAAAACCUAAACUCCACGGCUUGUCAUAGAGGCCUUUCCCAACCUGGCCUCAAAUUACCUUCCCAGCCCCCUUUGCAGACUUCGGCCCUCAGAAAGCCUGUGCUGUUUGGGUUGUGGCAGAUACCUGCACACUGGACCAGCGGCUUCCUGGCUGCACCGGCCCUUUGCCAUCGUGCACGCUCACACCGAUGUUUACCCUUCCUCUCCCUUAGUGCCAGUUCCCACUCUGCAGGUCAUUCUGUCGAGGUCCUGCCCAGCCUUCUUCCCAGGCCUGGGCCUGGCUGCCCCCUUGGCCCUUCCUGGCUCCUCGGUCCAUUGUCCAGAGACUCAUUGUUUGCCAUUGGUUCCCCUUCCAGACCGAAUGGACUCCCCACUGCAUUGCCCUGGCACCCAGCAAGGACUGGCCGCACAGGGUGUUCAGCACACCUCCCUGAGCUCCCAGCACACAACUUCCCAAACCAGCCACCCGUCCAUCCCCUCUUAGCCUGCAAGCCUGCCCAGCCCGGCAGCACAGAGCAGAGUGGCCCAACCAACCGCCAGCUUGACAUCCUGCCCAGGAUGCCCAUGAAGGGAUUUCGUUCUUAUGUCCAUUUGCCCCACCGCCUGGAGGAGAUGCAGAUGGAAUACCAGAUCCGCAGAAGAGGGGAACUGGAGCCCCAGAGAGGAAGCAAGAGCCUGGAUUUGGAUGAGGGAAAAGCUGGUAAGAGGUGCUGUGUGAGCUCUGGAGGUACAGGCACAGGGCACACACAGAGCGAGGUCUCACUCCUGAAACCCUGGGAUGAGGGCAACAGCCCAGGAAGUACUUGCUUCUCAGGGCUUCUCUCUGGCAUUUGCCAGGCACCCCAAGGCUGGCCCCCCCAUUUGCUCAACAGCUUUCAACACAUUGGGAGCUGGGGCUAUGGGAAUGAAGGAGAGAUGCGGGCAGCCUGUGAGCUCACAGAGCCCUCUGUGGAGGGGACUGAUGUAGGAAGACACCAUCCCCCAGGACAUGGAUCUAAAGGCAGGACAGAACUGUGCUCAUACCCAGAGUCCUGGUGUCCUCCCCUCCCUGGCCUCUGA